rnacentral:rRNA from 1 species
AUUCCAGCUCCAAUAGCGUAUAUUAAAGUUGUUGCGGUUAAAAAGCUCGUAGUUGGAUUUCUGCUGAGGACGACCGGUCCGCCCUCUGGGUGAGUAUCUGGCUUGGCCUUGGCAUCUUCUUGGAGAACGUAGCUGCACUUGACUGUGUGGUGCGGUAUCCAGGACUUUUACUUUGAGGAAAUUAGAGUGUUUCAAGCAGGCACACGCCUUGAAUACAUUAGCAUGGAAUAAUAAGAUAGGACUGUAGUGCUAUUUUGUUGGUUUGCGUACUAUGGUAAUGAUUAAUAGGGAUAGUUGGGGGUAUUCAUAUUCAAUUGUCUGAGGUGAAAUUCUUGGAUUUAUGGAAGAUGAACUACUGCGAAAGCAUUUACCAAGGAUGUUUUCAUCA